rnacentral:rRNA from 1 species
GACGAACGCUGGCGGCGUGCUUAACACAUGCAAGUCGAACGAAGAGCGAUGGAUGCUUGCUUCUAUCAAUCUGAGUGGCGAACGGGUGAGUCACGCGUAAUCAACCUGCCCUUCAGAGGGGGCCAACAGUUGGAAACGACUGCUAAUACCGCAUACGACCUAAUCACGGCAUCGAGGAGAGAUGAAAGGCGGCCUCUACAGGUAACGCAGCACUUCAGGUGGGGGUUGCGUCUGUGUAGCUAGUUGGCGGGGUAACGGCGCACCAAGGCGAGGAUCAGUAGCCGGUCUGAGAGGAUGAGCGGCCACAUUGGGACGGAGACACGGCCCAGACGCCUACGGGAGGCAGCAGUGGGGAAACGUCCGCAAGAGACGAAAGUCUGACGGAGAAACGCCGCGGGAGUGAUGACGGCCGUCGGGUUGUAAAGCUCGGUUAAUCGGGACGAAAGGCCUUCUUGCGAAUAGGGAGAAGGAUUGACGGUACCGGAAUAGAAAGCCACGGCUAACUACGUG